CGACUAAGCGUACACGGUGGAUGCCCUGGCAGUCAGAGGCGAUGAAGGACGUGCUAAUCUGCGAAAAGCGUCGGUAAGGUGAUAUGAACCGUUACAGCCGGCGAUGUCCGAAUGGGGAAACCCAGUGCAAUUCGUUGCACUAUCGUUAACUGAAUACAUAGGUUAACGAGGCGAACCGGGGGAACUGAAACAUCUAAGUACCCCGAGGAAAAGAAAUCAACCG
rnacentral:rRNA from 1 species